CUGGAAUUCCUGGUGUAGCGGUGAAAUGCGCAGAUAUCAGGAGGAACACCGAUGGCGAAGGCAGGUCUCUGGGCUGUAACUGACGCUGAGGAGCGAAAGCAUGGGGAGCGAACAGGAUUAGAUACCCUGGUAGUCCAUGCCGUAAACGUUGGGCACUAGGUGUGGGGGACAUUCCACGUUUUCCGCGCCGUAGCUAACGCAUUAAGUGCCCCGCCUGGGGAGUACGGCCGCAAGGCUAAAACUCAAAGGAAUUGACGGGGGCCCGCACAAGCGGCGGAGCAUGCGGAUUAAUUCGAUGCAACGCGAAGAACCUUACCAAGGCUUGACAUGAACCGGAAUGAUGCAGAGAUGUGUCAGCCACUUGUGGCCGGUUUACAGGUGGUGCAUGGUUGUCGUCAGCUCGUGUCGUGAGAUGUUGGGUUAAGUCCCGCAACGAGCGCAACCCUCGUUCCAUGUUGCCAGCGGGUUAUGCCGGGGACUCAUGGGAGACUGCCGGGGUCAACUCGGAGGAAGGUGGGGACGACGUCAAAUCAUCAUGCCCCUUAUGUCUUGGGCUUCACGCAUGCUACAAUGGCCGGUACAAAGGGUUGCGAUACUGUGAGGUGGAGCUAAUCCCAAAAAGCCGGUCUCAGUUCGGAUUGAGGUCUGCAACUCGACCUCAUGAAGUGGAGUCGCUAGUAAUCGCAGAUCAGCAACGCUGCGGUGAAUACGUUCCCGGGCCUUGUACACACCGCCCGUCAAGUCACGAAAGUUGGUAACACCCGAAGCCGGUGGCCUAACCCCUUGUGGGA
rnacentral:rRNA from 1 species